ACAGGAACCUCAGGGCUUUUCCUCUUGCACCCAUUGCAUGGGGACUUCCCCACCGUGUCCUCGGGGACCGAAGUGGGACAUACCUAUUUCUGGGGAGUGGUGGUGUCAUCUAGAGACAUCUGUGCUCCCAGGAAGGCUGGAUUGCAGCCUCCCUCUUUGUGGCAGCCUCUGCAGGGCCGAUCACCAGCAGCACGUCUGUCCUGCACAUCUCCCUUUUGCUCCCUGCUCUCCCAGCCCGGGAGGCUCCCAGGUGUGCUGGGGGUGCUGGGCUGCCUGCUGCUCACCUCCUUUGUUUUCCAGGAGCUGCUAUUGAGAGGGAAACAGGUGGAUCCCAGGGGAUCCCAGCCUGCUGAGAAGUCACGCAGCACAGUCUCCAGAGUUCAGCACUGCCACGGCCACCACUGCCCUGGGCACAGUUCCUGCCAGAAGGGCAGCAAGGAUCUGCCUGAUUUAUUUUUCUGUCCUGGCUCAAAAACUUGUCGUGGCUUUCUGCUUUUGGGCCAGAAGAGCUCAGAGAUGCCUGAUAAGUCUUGGUCCUUACCCAACAGAAUGCAUGUUGACCAAGCCCAUGUGAGGAGGCAACAGUGUGUGGCUGGGAAAACCCACCUCCUGGAGAAGAGGGUGAGACAGAGCUGAGAACCAAGCCCUCCUCUGUGUGCUCCUCUGUGUGCUCCUCCUGGGUCACACUCUUCCUCUGGGCUCUAUUUGUUUUACUCUUAACAUUUACACACAGUCUGCUAGAAGGUUACCUGCCUUUCAGUCUCCUCUUGGUUGUGCCAGUUGAUGUAACAAGGGACAUUGACCAAAAGCUGCAGGGUGGGAUGAGCUGGGAGAGUGGGGCUGUCUGGGACACCAGAUGUGAGGGGGAAUCUCUGUUCCUGGAGAUUUUCAAGGCUUGACCAGACGAAGCCAUGGUGUUGGUGAUAGCAGGUUGGACUAAAGACCCCCAGACAUCCCUGCUAACAACUCUGGGAUUCUCUGAAGUCCUUUCUGUGCCCUGAGUUAAAAUCCCUGAGCUGAUCAACUGCAAAACCUUCCUGGGCUUUCCAGAUCCCAGGUAGCCAUCAGUAAAGCUACAGGAAGCCUGUCAGCCAUCCUAAAGUAUUCCUCACCUCAUUUCUGCUCAGGCUGAGGAUCUUCCCCACCCUUUGGCUGGCCAGGAAGAUGCAUGUGAAGAUGAGUGAGGUGCAGGUGCCUCCCCAGGCACGUGAAUUGCACGUGUGGGUGAGUGGCUGCAGGAGCUGCCAGCUGCAGACAAAAGUGCAGGAGACAAAGACAAAAGCAGUUGGUAUGAAAUCCUGUUUAAUUACAAAAAGUAGUGAUACAGGCUCAGUCUGUGUGUAUGAAAGCAAAUUACUGAGCUAGAGGAACAUCGAGAGAAGAUCUUAAAAGGAAUUGAGGCACUUCUUGGCACUUCUCCCCAAAAUGUAUCUACUAAGUAAUGAAAAUUAAAUCUCCUAUUGAAACAAAGAGUUCAAUAAACUAUAUUUAUCAUAUUGUGCUUUCUUUUGAAA